UAAACUCUGUAUGACUGGCGGAUAGUGGGAAAAACCCACAGGGAUUACAGAGUUAAAAGCCGACCGCCUGGGCGAAUAGA
rnacentral:ncRNA from 2 species